rnacentral:rRNA from 1 species
AUGUCGGCGAUGAUGGGGGCGCGGCUGGACCUGGCGCCCUUCCUCCUUUCCCCGUCGCCGUCGCCCUCGCGGCCGUCCCCCGCCCUCCGCCUCCGGACCUCAUCGCCGACCGCGGCGGCGGCGGCGAGGACCCGCUUGCUCGCCCCGAGGGCUGCCGCGGCGGCGACCGCCGUCUCCGCCAAGCCGGCGGCGGCCGCGCCGCUGUCCGCCGACCGCUCCGUCGUCCGCCUCGGGCUCCCCAGCAAGGGCCGCAUGGCCGAGCUAACCCUAAGCCUCCUCAAGAGUUGCCAGUUGUCGGUGAGGCAGCUCAACCCGCGGCAGUACACCGCCGACAUCCCGCAGGUUCCAAAUUUGGAGGUUUGGUUUCAGAGGCCCACGGAUAUUGUUCGUAAACUAUGUUCAGGGGAUCUUGAUCUUGGUAUUGUGGGUUAUGACAUAAUUAGUGAAUAUGCACAGGGCAAUGAUGAUCUAGUUAUUAUUCAUGAUGCCCUCGAUUUCGGACAUUGUCGCCUGUCCCUUGCGGUGCCGAAGGAAGGUAUUUUUGAUAGCAUCAAUACUCUAGAGGAUUUGUUAAAUAUGCCUCAGUGGACUGAAGAAAGACCAAUGCGGGUCGUUACAGGAUUUGGUUAUGUAGGUGCAAAGUUUUUGAAAGAAAAGGGUUUCAAGCAUGUUUCAUUUUUAGCUGGUGAUGGUGCUCUCGAGUCAUAUCCUGCUAUGGGUAUGGCUGACGCUAUUGUGGAUCUUGUGAGUAGUGGAACGACUUUGCGUGAGAAUAAUUUGAAGGAAAUUGAAGGUGGAGUAAUUUUGGAAAGCCAGGCAACACUUGUAGCAAGUAAGAAAUCUCUGAACAGACGUGAGGGUGUGUUAGAGAUUUCACAUGAGAUGCUUGAAAGAUUGGAGGCUCACCUCACAGCGUCUGGCAAGAUAAUGGUAACAGCAAAUAUGAGGGGCAAUAGUGCAGAAGAAGUGGCUGAGAGAGUUCUCAGCCAAACAUCAUUAUGUGGAUUACAGGGCCCAACUAUAAGCCCAGUGUAUUGCACGCUUGAUGGCAAUGUUGCUGUGGACUACUAUGCUAUUAAUGUUGUAGUUCCCCAAAAGUCGCUUUACAAGUCUAUUCAACAACUGAGAUCUAUUGGUGGCAGCGGAGUCUUGGUGUCGAAACUGACCUACAUAUUUGACGAGGAGACUCCUAGGUGGCGCAAACUUCUCUCUGAGCUGGGAAUGUGA